AGGACGAACGCUGGCGGCGUGCUUAACACAUGCAAGUCGAGCGACGCAUCACUUCGGUGGUGACGGAGCGGCGAACGGGUGAGUAACACGUGGGCGACCUGCCCUCAGCUCUGGGACAACUCCGGGAAACCGGGGCUAAUACCGGAUACGACCUUUCACCUCAUGGUGUUUGGUGGAAAGUUUUUCGGCUGGGGAUGGGCCCGCGGCCUAUCAGCUUGUUGGUGGGGUAAUGGCCUACCAAGGCGACGACGGGUA
rnacentral:rRNA from 1 species